ACCAGCAGCUUAUGAUUUUCUUAAUGCACCAGUUCCCCACGGAUUACUGAAGUUAAGCAGCGUUGUGCGUGGUUAGUACCUGGAUGGUGACAAUCUGGGGAAUCGCGUGCUGCUGAGU
rfam:Asian citrus Psyllid, Diaphorina citri - Florida Strain, whole genome shotgun sequence.